CUGCUCCCUCCCACACAGCCCCAGCUGGAGAGCCUUUUCUUGCAGCGAGAGCUACUCUUCCUGUGCCAGUCUCUUUUCACUCACUGCUCCUCCUCUCCCUGCCUUCCUCAUAGACUGAAGGUCAAGAAGCCGGGAUAGCUGACAAGCAAGUGAAUCAGGUGGAAAUGAGGU
rnacentral:lncRNA from 1 species